UACGAAGGGGGCUAGCGUUGCUCGGAAUUACUGGGCGUAAAGCGUGCGCAGGCGGUGAUGUAAGACAGGUGUGAAAUCCCCGGGCUUAACCUGGGAACUGCAUUUGUGACUGCAUUGCUGGAGUGCGGCAGAGGGGGAUGGAAUUCCGCGUGUAGCAGUGAAAUGCGUAGAUAUGCGGAGGAACACCGAUGGCGAAGGCAAUCCCCUGGGCCUGCACUGACGCUCAUGCACGAAAGCGUGGGGAGCAAACAGG
rnacentral:rRNA from 1 species